rnacentral:rRNA from 1 species
UGGGCGCAAGCCUGAUCCAGCAAUGCCGCGUGCAGGAAGAAGGCCUUCGGGUUGUAAACUGCUUUUGUACGGAACGAAAAGGUCUGGGUUAAUACCCUGGGCUCAUGACGGUACCGUAAGAAUAAGCACCGGCUAACUACGUGCCAGCAGCCGCGGUAAUACGUAGGGUGCAAGCGUUAAUCGGAAUUACUGGGCGUAAAGCGUGCGCAGGCGGUUGUGUAAGACAGGCGUGAAAUCCCCGGGCUCAACCUGGGAAUGGCGCUUGUGACUGCACAGCUGGAGUGCGGCAGAGGGGGAUGGAAUUCCGCGUGUAGCAGUGAAAUGCGUAGAUAUGCGGAGGAACACCGAUGGCGAAGGCAAUCCCCUGGGCCUGCACUGACGCUCAUGCACGAAAGCGUGGGAGCAAACAGGAUUAGAUACCCUGGUAGUCCACGCCCUAAACGAUGUCAACUGGUUGUUGGGUCUUAGCUGACUCAGUAACGAAGCUAACGCGUGAAGUUGACCGCCUGGGGAGUACGGC